rnacentral:sRNA from 1 species
GUAGUUAACUCGAUGAGCAAUGCAGAAGUUUGCACUUAUCGGGGAAGAAAGCGAGAGAACGUUGCCAACGGCAACGGCCCGUAGGGUGAGGAGCGAAGCGACGAAUAAUCCUUCCCCCACCACCA